GUCCCAGUGAAUUGAUAACUCGUUGAAAACACACAGAAUAUCGCGCCCUUUCACGGCGGCAACAGGGGUUCGAAUCCCCUUGGGGACGCCA
rnacentral:tRNA from 1 species